CUCCUCCUCUCUCUCUCUCUCGUGCGCGGGGCAGCAACGGCCCUGCUCCCGGCGCUCGCGCCAGCCGUGGCGAGCAGGGCCGGGCACGCGCGGCGGCCGCGGCCCCUGCUCUCUCUCGGCGCGGCUUGGCAGCAGCCUCGCUGGCCCUCCCUCAUCGGCGCCUCCCUCCCAAGAACCGCCCCGCCAGCCAUGCCGCACGCCGGCUCCGGCCCUCUUCCGGCCGCGCCCUCCUCCCCUGCUCUCCUCGGCCUUGCGCCGCCGUGCAGCCUCCGUCCACCCCCUCCCAGGCUCCCUCCGCCGGCGGUGCUACUCGAGCUCGAGAGCAGCUGCAGCGACGGCCGGCUCCUGGCAGCGGAGGCUUCCGGCUGCCCGCUGCCUGCCUGCGGCUCUCUCUCCUACCACCAAUGCAUUUCUUGGAGACCUGCUACUGACCUUAUUUCUCUCCCCCUCACCCUCACAACCGCACAGGUGAACCGCACAAGGGAUACAUUGCUGUGCCAAUAGUCUGUUCGUCUUCGUCAGUCAUAGUCAGGUUUAGCUUAUCCCUAUGUUGGAUCCGGCUUCUAUCGAUGCUCCUUUUGGUAUGCAGUGUUGGAUCGAUGUGGUGCUGAUCUUGUUCGCCCGUCCCCGGUGUGCAGUUCAUACGGUUUUUCAUCUGUCUGCUGCCAGGUUUGCAGUCCUCGUUCAGAAACUUCAUCAGUUUGCAUCCCGGCCCUAUCCUUCAGCUGAGACAUCUCCUAGGCCUCCAUUCAGUGAAAUUGCUUGGAAAAAAGUGCUUUCACUUUUACUCCUUCAGAUCUUAAAUUCUGAAUACCAAUGUGAUGAAAUGCUGGUUUGAUUUCUAUAUGGACAAAUAGAUUUGUUAAAUUUAGGUUUUAUUGACUAAAUCAAACAAUUGAAUAAUAGGAAGAUGUAGAAACUGAAAGGAUUAGGACACUUUUGCAGGGCCAGAUCACACUUAUACAUCAUUUGGAAAUGACUUUCUUGUUUCCAUAUCUUUCUUGAUCGUGGAUAAGAAAUUUUCAUGACUGUCUACAUUGCUUGGGAACAAGAGGGUGGUUGUUUUCCAUCGCGCAUGACUCUAAAUUUUUGUGCUGGAUACUAUAUUCUAACGUCAGGCAAUGGUAGAGAUCGAUUGUUUGGGCAGGUAUGCCAUUCUGUGAUCGAGUCAGGUGGUUGCUAAAGGUUAUUACAUGGAAAGUAUGUCAACACUUUUCUUCUGGCCAUACACGAAGAACCAAUGUAGAGUUCUCUUAGUGAUGAUUUGAGAAGUCUCUGAGUCACAGGAAAUUAUUAUGUUAUGAUGAAUGUGCCAUGAGGGUCAUUUACCAAGUGUGCAGAUCAAAUUGGGGUUGACUGGUAGACAUCUGGCAUUGCACACAAAUGAAUUCACCUUAAUGAGCUGGUUAUUACCAUUAUUGAUAAAUUUUAAUACCAUCUUUAGUUCCUUCCUCUGCAGGUUGUCACCCAGGGGAACUGCACCUAGCAUUACCUGCCAACAUCCAUCACAUAUACCAUUGUGGAGUUGGUCGAGUCCUCGGCCUGCAAUAAUGGGUUUGCUAUCCCAGCCAUCCUCAUGGUCAUUCAGGCUCAUGGUGGCUCUGCAGCGAGCUAAGAACAGGAGGUCCGAAGAGGAGGUAAUUUUGUAGAUGCAGCUGACUGUCCAUCCUACUAUUCUCCAUCGCGGCGAGCUCUUGCUCUUGUGCUACACGGUCGUUUACAAGGCCGGCAUGGGAAGCAAGGGCACCCGUCAGCAACUCCGUCACCUACGCCAUUAAUUCGGUGAUGCUGGCGAUGUACCCUGUAUGUGAGGUUGUCCAACAUGUGCAAGGAAAUAUGGAAUGGCUUCUCCAAGGAAAUAUGCUGGUUCACUGGAUUGCCUUGCCAUCUCCAAUGAUAAUUUGGUGUGGAUUAUUGGAAUACUUAAAUUUCAAUAAUAUCUCCCGUUACGGCACUAUAAUAUAAUCUGAGUAUUUUGCUUUUGGAGGGUUA